UACAGAGGGGGCAAGCGUUAAUCGGAAUUACUGGGCGUAAAGCGCGCGUAGGCGGUUUGUUAAGUUGGAUGUGAAGGCCCCGGGCUCAACCUGGGAACUGCAUCCAAAACUGGCAAGCUAGAGGAAGGUAGAGGGAGGUGGAAUUUCAUGUGUAGCGGUGAAAUGCGUAGAUAGAGGAAGGAACACCAGUGGCGAAGGCGACCACCCGGACUGAUACUGACACUGAGGUGCGAAAGCGUGGGGAGCAAACAGG
rnacentral:misc_RNA from 1 species